rnacentral:rRNA from 1 species
GGGUUCGGAGUUAUGAUUAACGGGGACAGUCGGGGGCAUUCGUAUUUCCUAGUCAGAGGUGAGAUUCUUGGAUUUAUGAAAGACGUACAACUGCGAUAGCAUUUGCCAAGGAUGUUUUCAUUAAUCAAGAACGAAAGUUGUGGGCUCGAAGACGAUCAGAUACCGUCCUAGUCUCAACCAUAAACGAUGCCGACCAGGGAUCAGCGGAUGUUGCUUAUAGGAAUCCGGUGG